rnacentral:rRNA from 1 species
UUAAGCGACUAAGCGUACACGGUGGAUGCCCUGGCAGUCAGAGGCGAUGAAGGACGUGCUAAUCUGCGAAAAGCGUCGGUAAGGUGAUAUGAACCGUUAUAGCCGGCGAUGUCCGAAUGGGGAAACCCAGUGUGAUUCGUCACACUAUCGUUAACUGAAUACAUAGGUUAACGAGGCGAACCGGGGGAACUGAAACAUCUAAGUACCCCGAGGAAAAGAAAUCAACCGAGAUUCCCCCAGUAGCGGCGAGCGAACGGGGAGCAGCCCAGAGUCUGAAUCAGCUUGUGUGUUAGUGGAACGGUCUGGAAAGUCCGACGGUACAGGGUGAUAGUCCCGUACACCAAAAUGCACAGGCUGUGAACUCGAAGAGUAGGGCGGGACACGUGGUAUCCUGUCUGAAUAUGGGGGGACCAUCCUCCAAGGCUAAAUACUCCUGACUGACCGAUAGUGAACCAGUACCGUGAGGGAAAGGCGAAAAGAACCCCGGCGAGGGGAGUGAAAAAGAACCUGAAACCGUGUACGUACAAGCAGUGGGAGCACCUUCGGGUGUGACUGCGUACCUUUUGUAUAAUGGGUCAGCGACUUAUAUUCUGUAGCAAGGUUAACCGUAUAGGGGAGCCGCAGGGAAACCGAGUCUUAACUGGGCGUUAAGUUGCAGGGUAUAGACCCGAAACCCGGUGAUCUAGCCAUGGGCAGGUUGAAGGUUGGGUAACACUAACUGGAGGACCGAACCGACUAAUGUUGAAAAAUUAGCGGAUGACUUGUGGCUGGGGGUGAAAGGCCAAUCAAACCGGGAGAUAGCUGGUUCUCCCCGAAAGCUAUUUAGGUAGCGCCUCGUGAACUCAUCUUCGGGGGUAGAGCACUGUUUCGGCUAGGGGGUCAUCCCGACUUACCAACCCGAUGCAAACUACGAAUACCGAAGAAUGUUAUCACGGGAGACACACGGCGGGUGCUAACGUCCGUCGUGAAGAGGGAAACAACCCAGACCGCCAGCUAAGGUCCCAAAGUCAUGGUUAAGUGGGAAACGAUGUGGGAAGGCACAGACAGCCAGGAUGUUGGCUUAGAAGCAGCCAUCAUUUAAAGAAAGCGUAAUAGCUCACUGGUCGAGUCGGCCUGCGCGGAAGAUGUAACGGGGCUAAACCAUGCACCGAAGCUGCGGCAGCGACACUAUGUGUUGUUGGGUAGGGGAGCGUUCUGUAAGCCUGCGAAGGUGUGCUGUGAGGCAUGCUGGAGGUAUCAGAAGUGCGAAUGCUGACAUAAGUAACGAUAAAGCGGGUGAAAAGCCCGCUCGCCGGAAGACCAAGGGUUCCUGUCCAACGUUAAUCGGGGCAGGGUGAGUCGACCCCUAAGGCGAGGCCGAAAGGCGUAGUCGAUGGGAAACAGGUUAAUAUUCCUGUACUUGGUGUUACUGCGAAGGGGGGACGGAGAAGGCUAUGUUAGCCGGGCGACGGUUGUCCCGGUUUAAGCAUGUAGGCGGAGGUUCCAGGUAAAUCCGGUACCUUUUUAACGCUGAGGUGUGAUGACGAGGCACUACGGUGCUGAAGUAACAAAUGCCCUGCUUCCAGGAAAAGCCUCUAAGCAUCAGGUAACAUUGAAUCGUACCCCAAACCGACACAGGUGGUCAGGUAGAGAAUACCAAGGCGCUUGAGAGAACUCGGGUGAAGGAACUAGGCAAAAUGGUGCCGUAACUUCGGGAGAAGGCACGCUGGUGUGUAGGUGAAGUCCCUGCGGAUGGAGCUGAGACCAGUCGAAGAUACCAGCUGGCUGCAACUGUUUAUUAAAAACACAGCACUGUGCAAACACGAAAGUGGACGUAUACGGUGUGACGCCUGCCCGGUGCCGGAAGGUUAAUUGAUGGGGUUAUCCGUAAGGAGAAGCUCUUGAUCGAAGCCCCGGUAAACGGCGGCCGUAACUAUAACGGUCCUAAGGUAGCGAAAUUCCUUGUCGGGUAAGUUCCGACCUGCACGAAUGGCGUAAUGAUGGCCAGGCUGUCUCCACCCGAGACUCAGUGAAAUUGAACUCGCUGUGAAGAUGCAGUGUACCCGCGGCAAGACGGAAAGACCCCGUGAACCUUUACUAUAGCUUGACACUGAACAUUGAGCCUUGAUGUGUAGGAUAGGUGGGAGGCUUUGAAGCGUGGACGCCAGUCUGCGUGGAGCCAACCUUGAAAUACCACCCUUUAAUGUUUGAUGUUCUAACGUUGGCCCCUUACCGGGGUUGCGGACAGUGUCUGGUGGGUAGUUUGACUGGGGCGGUCUCCUCCCAAAGCGUAACGGAGGAGCACGAAGGUUAGCUAAUCCUGGUCGGACAUCAGGAGGUUAGUGCAAUGGCAUAAGCUAGCUUGACUGCGAGCGUGACGGCGCGAGCAGGUGCGAAAGCAGGUCAUAGUGAUCCGGUGGUUCUGAAUGGAAGGGCCAUCGCUCAACGGAUAAAAGGUACUCCGGGGAUAACAGGCUGAUACCGCCCAAGAGUUCAUAUCGACGGCGGUGUUUGGCACCUCGAUGUCGGCUCAUCACAUCCUGGGGCUGAAGUAGGUCCCAAGGGUAUGGCUGUUCGCCAUUUAAAGUGGUACGCGAGCUGGGUUUAGAACGUCGUGAGACAGUUCGGUCCCUAUCUGCCGUGGGCGCUGGAGAAUUGAGGGGGGCUGCUCCUAGUACGAGAGGACCGGAGUGGACGCAUCACUGGUGUUCGGGUUGUCAUGCCAAUGGCACUGCCCGGUAGCUAAAUGCGGAAGAGAUAAGUGCUGAAAGCAUCUAAGCACGAAACUUGCCCCGAGAUGAGUUCUCCCUGAGACUUUAAGUCUCCUGAAGGAACGUUAAAGACGAUGACGUUGAUAGGCCGGGUGUGUAAGCGCAGCGAUGCGUUGAGCUAACCGGUACUAAUGAACCGUGAGGCUUAACCUU